UACGGGGGGGGCAAGCGUUGUUCGGAAUUACUGGGCGUAAAGGGCUCGUAGGCGGCCAACUAAGUCAGACGUGAAAUCCCUCGGCUUAACCGGGGAACUGCGUCUGAUACUGGAUGGCUUGAGUUUGGGAGAGGGAUGCGGAAUUCCAGGUGUAGCGGUGAAAUGCGUAGAUAUCAGGAGGAACACCAAUGGCGAAGGCAGCUCGCUGGGACGGUACUGACACUGAGAAGCGAAAGCAUGGGGAGCGAA
rnacentral:rRNA from 1 species